GCCUGGCUGGCUCAGCCAGUAGAGCAUGAGACUCUUGAUCUUGGGGUCAUGGGUUUGAGCCCCAUGUGUGGCA
rnacentral:tRNA from 1 species